GCCGGGCGUGGUGGCACGUGCCUGUAAUCCCAGCUACUCGGGAGGCUGAGGCAGGAGAAUUGCUUGAACCUGGGAGGUGGCGGUUGCAGUGAGCAGAGAUCAUGCCACUGCACUCCAGCCUGGGUGACAGAGCAAGACUCUGUCUCAA
rnacentral:SRP_RNA from 1 species